ensembl:lncRNA CPLX2 complexin 2
AUUUUGCCAGAGGAGUCCUUAUUCUUCACAGGAUAUCAGAUCUCAAAGGGAUUGGUGAGUGGCUUGCCUAAGGUCCACUGCAGUUUUGCAUCAGUCUUCUCUCACUGGGUGCUGACCCACUGCGAGGGUCUUGCCCACACGCUCCAUCAGUGUUUCCUGAGUGCUCCUGUGGCUGGGCACUGUGCUGGGGGGAGGGGCUGUAAAGAUGAUCCGGCCAAGGUCCAGUCCUGGAGCUGCUCACAGGCAAGAGGCAAACUAACAGGUGGAACAGGAGUCGCUGAGGCAAGGGCUUGUCUCGGAGUCGCAGGAACCCCAAGAGGUGCGACCACUCUGCCUGGAGAAACCAAGGAGGGCUUUCCCAAGGAGGCGAACUUUGAGCUUUGCUUUAAAGAGCCCUUCCUCCACCCCCUGCCCCCACCACUCCUCAGGAGCAGAAAGCUUGUGGGCCUGGAGCUGUGGCCAGGAUGUCUGGCUGCAGGGAGACGGCAGGGGCGUCUGCGAGGGGGAGGAGAACAGUGUAAGGUGGAGGAGAGAGGGGAGGGGAGCGAGAAAAGAGGGGGAGGAAUGGAGGGAGAAGGAGACGGGAGGGAGGAGGGAGGGAGAGAGGGAGAGAAGGAAGGAACGACGGGGGAGGGAGGGAGGGAGAGAGAGAGAGGAGAGAGAGACAGGGGAGAGAGAGAGAGGAGAGAGAGACAGGGGGGAGAGAGAGAGAGGAGAGAGAGACAGAGGGGUGAGAGAGAGAGAGAGAGAGAGAGAGAGAGAGAGAGAGAGAGAGAUUUGAAUUUCCCAUCUGGAAGGGGAGCGGUAGAACGUCAGGGCCCGGCUGAGGGGCGUGAUUGGAGGGCGCCUUCGGCAGCCGCCCGCGGCAGAAGCCGCGGCCCCAGCUCGCCUGGCGGAGUUGCACGCGGCGGCGGGAGCUGGAAUAGCAGAAGGAACCACCUCGUGGAGUCGGGCCGGAGCCCUGCAGUGGCUCAGACGGUUGCAGGGACCGCCAGGUUGUCACGUCUUCCUGAGCCAGGCCAGCCAGGAGCGCUGCAUGCAAAUUCUGCCGUGGGCUAGGGCACGCUAACCAGAGCCGGCGGCAUGGACUUCGUCAUGAAGCAGGCCCUUGGAGGUGAGGUCCAGCGCCCCACCGCGAGUCCUCGGCGGGUCCGACCCUUGUGGGAGGGGGCUCGGCCCGCCCAGCCCCUCUCUCCCCAGCCCUGAUCCGUGGCUGACCCCGCUCUCUCCCUCCCACCGCUUCCUCGUAGGGGCCACCAAGGACAUGGGGAAGAUGCUGGGGGGAGAAGAGGAGAAGGACCCGGACGCGCAGAAGAAGGAGGAGGAGCGGCAGGAGGCCCUGCGGCAGCAGGAGGAGGAGCGCAAGGCCAAGCACGCGCGCAUGGAGGCGGAGCGGGAGAAGGUCCGGCAGCAGAUCCGAGAUAAGGUCAGCUCCGCCCGCCCGCCCUGGGGAGGGCCACAAGCGGGUAAAACAGGUUCAGCGAAAGCCCCUGCCCGGCCUCCCCUGGAUCCCAGCUCUCACCUUCGCCCUAGCUCUCUCUGAGCCUCACUCUUCUCAUCAGCAAAAUGGGUGUCACAAGGACACCUCCCUCAAGGGAUCCUUUUGGGGAUUAAGAGAAUGCGCGUAGUAGGUACUCCAAGAGGGUGGACCCUACGGUCCACCAUUUAGUACUGCAGAUUCUUGGGACCAAAAAUGAAUGCAGUUCCGAACUGGGGAAUGUUCGAAAAAUACCACAGUGUCCUAAGCACCUUGUGCUGUUAGGUGUCACUCCCAGCGGGUCUGGGGCUGCCACCCUACUCCAGACAGUCCAGUGCAUGUCUGUCAGUGCCCUGCAAUAAAUAAAGGCUAGAAGUAGUCUUCCAUUGGUUCAAGUCAGAUUCGUCACCAAAUUUGGCUCAAAAUAUAUGAGCAAACGCCCCAUGUUCAGAUCUUUGGGGAUUUCAGCACAGCAGGAAGUUCUCAUGGGCAGAUGUUAAUUUUAAAGGAAACCCCACGCAUAGUCUCUCCCACUGAGGACCAGGCACCAUCCUACAGGGAAGACACCCUUAUCCCCACUUUACCGAUGAGAGGACUGAGGCUCGGGAGGUACUCCUGGCCACCUCAGCCAGUGCUGCAUGAUCGUGAGACUCCUGCUUCUCCUUGCCCACCCUGCUUCAUGCGUGUCUCUGCCCUUCCCCUCCCCAGUAUGGGCUGAAGAAGAAGGAGGAGAAGGAAGCAGAGGAGAAAGCAGCCCUCGAACAGCCCUGCGAGGGGAGCCUGACCCGGCCCAAGAAGGCCAUCCCUGCGGGCUGCGGGGACGAGGAGGAGGAGGAAGAGGAGAGCAUCCUGGACACGGUGCUCAAAUACCUGCCCGGGCCGCUGCAGGACAUGUUCAAGAAGUAACCAGGCCUCCUGCCCCAGCCCACUCCACCUGUUACUACUUCUUUUUGGUUCUUUCUUUUCUUUUUAUUAGGUUAAGUCUCAAUUCUGAAGGGGAAAACCUCAGUUGGCCUCUGCCCCCCUUCCCCGGCCAGGGGCUUCUCCCCCUCAGCUCUUCCUCACACCUCCCUUCAUUCCAGGGUAUCCACCUGCACCCCACUCCCAAGUAGCUUGAAAAAGGGAAGACAGUCUUUCCCCAGUGGGGGUGGGGGGGCGCUGAACCCAGAGCCAAAGGUACUGGGAGCCCCCUCAGGAAGCCUAAGGUCAUGCUAGUGUGGUGACCCCUAUACGUUCCUUCAUGCUCCCCACUGCCAGGAGGACCACUGUCCCCAGUCAGCCAAAGUAAUGACACAUUCCAGCCCUGCCCAGCAUGCUGACCUUUAGCCUCCAACCCUCAGUGGGCCCCCAGGUCAGGGCAGGGGCACUGAGUGGCCUGGCUCUGAGGAAGGGAGUCAGGGGAAGCCUGUCCCAGGAAGGCCCAGGCUGAGAGACCCCAGGUCUGGCCAGGCUGGGAUCUGGGCAGGAGGCUGGGGCUCUCCUUCUUCCAUCUCCUUGGUGACACCCAGCCCAGGAGCACCCCCUUCCCCAGCCCCCACCUGGAGAGACAUGGCCCCUGCCAAGCUGGUCCCUCCAAAUGGAUCCUUUGUGGACUUUAGCUCAUCUGUGGAGGAGCCCCAGGUAGGGAAGCCCCUUGUUCCACACCCCCACCCCACUUAGGUCCUGGGCCCCCACUGCCAGGCUAGGCCCAGCUUGCUCAGCCAAGGGGCUGCCCAGGCCCCCAGAAAACACUUGGAGCCAUCGGGCAGCGAUGGUCUGUGCCGUGGGGAGCACCCCCAUUGGUGUGGCCAAGCUGCCCCCAUUCUUAUCCAACCCUCUCCCCACCCUGUCCUGUCCAUGCGCUUCCAGGGCCCCGUGGUCCUCAGGAGGACCCUUCCUGGCCAAAGCCCCAAGCCUUUGGUGAGAAGCCAAUUCCCGCUUGACAGAAGGCACCACCCAUUCAUCUCACUGGCCAAGGACAAACUCUCCUCUGGGAUGUCUGGGACUGGCAUUUGUCCCCCACUCAAAUUAUCACAGCUUUCUGCUCAGUCAGUUGUGUGGGGAUGGUGAGGGAAGAGGGGUCAAAUGAGGGAGGAAACUGUAUACAUGCAUGCAUGAUAGCGUGUGGCAGAGGCUGCAUCAGAGAUUGCGUGUUCAGAGAUCAUAUGCAUAUGUGUAGGGCUAGAGCGUGUGUGUGUCUUGAGAUUGUGUGUGUUGUAGUUGUUAUAUCUAUGUGUUACAGAUUGUGUGUUAGCCUUGUGUAUGUGUGCUUGAUUGAGGUGGUGUAUUUGGGUUGAAAUUGUGUCAUGUGUCUGUGCUAUCCAUCUCGUGUUUAGAGGCUGUAUAUGUUAGCUUGUGUAAGAAUGUGUUUUCAAAAUAGCGUGUGUAUUGGGAGUGAUGGGUUUGUGUUAGGUGUUGUAGAAGUGUGUGUUUGAGAGAAUUGGGAGAUAUUUGAAGGCUUGUGUGUGCAUGUUUGGGGGUCUGAAAAGACAGUUACGUGCAUGGAUGUGAGCUUGGGGAGAAAGAACGUGGGUAAGAUGUCCCCUCCCAGCCCUGAGACCAUUGGUCACAGUUGGCCACUUCCAAUAGGAGACCUUGUCCUUGGCCUAGAGUGCUCCCACCCUUGGGGGGUUCCUGCCUGAGGUCCUCAGAAUCCCACUGUGACAGACCCAGGCAGUGCCCCAGGAAGCCAUGCUGGGCCCCGCCAGGGCCUAUCCCAAAAGCAGGGCCAGGGAGGGGCGACUUGCCUGCCCCUGAAGCCCCUGUUCCCAUUGGCCCCAGUUUGCAUUCUGCAGGUUUUCCAUUUUAGUGGAUUCUGCUUUUAUUUCAGAGACAGACAUGUGUCUUCUCUGUCCGUUUCCAAUAGGUAAAGCCAUAUCAGUUAGACUGCAAUACUUUAAACACGAGACAAAACAAUCCAUAUGUUUAGGGAACCAGAAAAGUCCCCUGGUCUGUCCCUUCCUUGGGGAGCAGGGUCUCGGCAGCUCCAGCUCCCUGGACCUACCUUCCUCCCUGCACCCCCGCCCCCUCCUCGUGCCCCUGUGUCCAGCCCCCCGGGGGCCUGUGUCUGUGUCUGUGCCAGUGUCUGUGAUGGGGAGCCACCUCGCACCCCUGUUGUCUGCUUGUCUCUUUGUGUCUGUUAUCCUGGGCAGGAUGGUCAUUCUCAAGAACCCUGGAGUCCUGGGCCAGAGACAAGCAGGGCCCAGUCCAGGGGCCCCAGGCCUCCCCAGCCCGUGUGUGUGAGCCCUGCUUGGACACAAGUGUUCGGAGGUGCCCCUCCGCCAGUUGACAGGGACCUUCAAACCUCGAUGGUGAUGCCAGGACACAGAGAGGACCAGAUAGGUAGCAGAGACCAAGGCGCAGGGCGCUUCAGAUGAGCAAGAGAACCCAGUCAAACCAGAUAUUCCAGGUGGGCUGGAGGGACCCCAGACCCUCAGAGGGCUGCCCUGGUGGUCUCCACAGUGCAGUCCCUCUGUAUUCCCAGAGUGGGAUCGGGGCUUUCAGCCCCACCCUGAUGCCUGCCCUCCAGGAUGGCUGGUUUAGUCUGAGUCCACGUCCCAGACCCCUCUAUUCUGCUCUGGGACAGCAGGACUUGAGGUCUUCCUGGGGGUGGGUAUGGGGGAAAAUUUCUGCCUGGCACACACCUGGCUCCAACCACUGCCAAGUGAUCACUCUUAGGCCCAGGGGAACACAAUGACUGUCAUUACUGAUGCAGACCUGGCUGUGGAGAGCAGCUAAUGUGUGGCCCAGAGAGCAUGUCUGUGUGGCACACGUAGUGCAUAGAAUACGUGAGAGUUGCUCUAGCAGGGGUGGGAUCCUCACAGGAUCGCCUGGGAGGUGAGGUGUGCGUGACCCACUGGGUGGGAGAGGAAUGAGUGUGCACACAUAAAUGGGGCAGUGUGCAUGCAACACACUUAGGGGAGGAGUGGCCCCAGAAUUCAGCACACACACAAGGGAGAGGACCCCCAGAUAGGAAAAUAGGAAGGAGCAAUCAUUUGUAGAUGGGUGAAAAGAAUGAGGCGCAAGGGAGCGUGCACCAGGUGAGGUGAGCGUGUGCGCUCUUGGGGAAGGCCGGGCUCCCGUGCCUGGGAGGCGCUGCCAGAGAGAAGGAAAAAGGCAGCUACGGGUCGCCCUGGGCUGGGCACUGGCGACGGGUCAGGGCGGGUCAGGAUCUCCAAACAUGGACGUCCUCCCCUCCAAAUCCAGAAGCUCCCAAAAGGUGUCCUUAACAGCAAGGCUGUGCAGGGUACUCCUCCAGAUGGAAUCAGGAAGUGGAGACGCCAUCCCAGGUGUGUGAGAGCGAGAGAACGAAAAGGAGACGGCAGUGUUGCAGCCCAGAGCCCCUGUCAGGGGACAGCCGGUGGGCAAAGCAGCCAGCCCACAGCCUUGUGGCUAGAGUGCAGUGCGGUGGGCCCCUAGCUCCAAGAGCCCGGCACCCAGCUGGCAGGGUUGCCCAUGCCCGCUGGCCACCUGCUCCAUCCUUUAGGGUUCCACAGGCCCCUGACUGCACAGGGAGGCUGGGGUCAGCCUGGGCUCCCAGGCCU